rnacentral:rRNA from 1 species
UGAGGGAAAGCUGCAAAGUACUCUGAAGAGAGAGUUCAAAAGGACGUGAAGCCGUCUGCAGGGAAACGGGUGAGACCGCACGGUAGACCCGCGGCGGAUUCAGCUCCGGGGGAAACCUCGGGGUGCACUUCCGCGCCAGCGGGUCGCGCAGGGCCCGACUCGAUGGCCGUCUGAAGCCCGGCGAGGAGGUGACGGGGACCUCGGUCUCCGAGUUUAACUCGUCGGCGCGGAGACCGGCUUUUGGGUCGAGGAACGUCCAUCCGUCUUUGACGCGUUAG